GCUUCUAUGGUCUAGCGGUUAAGACAUUAGGUUUUCAACUUAAAUACGGGGGUUUGAAUCCCCUUAGAAGUG
rnacentral:tRNA from 1 species